rnacentral:rRNA from 1 species
CCUACGGGAGGCAGCAGUGGGGAAUAUUGGGCAAUGGGCGCAAGCCUGACCCAGCAACGCCGCGUGAAGGAAGAAGGCUUUCGGGUUGUAAACUUCUUUUCUGAGGGACGAAGAAAGUGACGGUACCUCAGGAAUAAGCCACGGCUAACUACGUGCCAGCAGCCGCGGUAAUACGUAGGUGGCAAGCGUUAUCCGGAUUUAUUGGGUGUAAAGGGGUUGUAGGCGGGAAAGCAAGUCAGAUGUGAAAACGCAGGGCCCAAACCUGGGCCUGCAUUUGAAACUGUUUUUCGUGAGUGCUGGGGAGGCAAUCGGAAUUCCGUGUGUAGCGGUGAAAUGCGUAGAUAUACGGAGGAACACCAGUGGCGAAGGCGGAUUGCUGGACAGUAACUGACGCUGAGGCGCGAAAGCGUGGGGAGCAAACAGGAUUAGAUACCCUUGUAGUC